UACGGAGGGAGCUAGCGUUGUUCGGAAUUACUGGGCGUAAAGCGCGCGUAGGCGGCUUUGUAAGUUAGAGGUGAAAGCCCGGGGCUCAACCCCGGAACUGCCUUUAAAACUGCAUCGCUUGAAUCCGGGAGAGGUGAGUGGAAUUCCGAGUGUAGAGGUGAAAUUCGUAGAUAUCGGGAGGAACACCAGUGGCGAAGGCGGCGAUCUGGGAAGAUACUGACGCUGAGGUGCGAAAGCGUGGGGAGCAAACAGG
rnacentral:rRNA from 1 species